UUCAGUAAUUCGUCCUAAGGAUCUGUAUUGGGAAAAGGACCUAAAGAAUACAUAAACAUUUAGUAGUUUGUUUUUUCUCUUUUUGUCGGUUAGGUUAUGGAGGAUUUUUACUUUCUUCUAUACAUUUUUCAGUAUUUUCCCAAUUACUAAAGUGGACAUAGAUUACAUUUAUCAAGAGAAAAAAUGCUAUAAAAGCACAAUUGCCUGACAUAGUCCUGUAUUACCUUUAUUCUAAUUUAUUCACAAUGUAGAAACUUUGGCUUUUGCUCCUAGAUAGGAAUCAACUGGCAUUUUAGAGUAGAGAAGGGUCUGGCUGCUCCUCUGCGGGUUUCUUGAUAGCCUUGCUGACUCAGGAACUCACCAGGGGCCAUCCGGCAGGGAGGAGGAGCAGAGGUGCAGGUGGAGGCACCCAGAAGAUGGAAAACAAAUCUGGGAAGGUGAAGCCACGAAACUCAGCUAAACUGUCACAGCGAAAUGCUGUCUGAAUAAGUCACAACUCAUACAGAAGACUGAACAGAGCAUUGUAAGAUAGGACACAAAACAAAAGACUUCAUCAGAGAGCUGAGAUCAUCGUGGGGUUGUGCACAGACCCAGUGCAGCAAUUCAACCGUGUUUCUGAGAGCCUGGGACCGGUUCCACCAUUCUUGGUAUGCUAUUGCCCCCUGCUGUUCAUGU
rnacentral:lncRNA from 1 species